rnacentral:rRNA from 1 species
AGCAUAUCAAUAAGCGGAGGAAAAGAAACUAACAAGGAUUCCCCUAGUAACUGCGAGUGAAGCGGGAAAAGCUCAAAUUUAAAAUCUGGCGGUCUUUGGCCGUCCGAGUUGUAGUCUGGAGAAGUGCUUUCCGCGCUGGACCGUGUAUAAGUCUCUUGGAACAGAGCGUCAUAGAGGGUGAGAAUCCCGUCUUUGACACGGACUACCAGUGCUUUGUGAUGCGCUCUCAAAGAGUCGAGUUGUUUGGGAAUGCAGCUCAAAAUGGGUGGUGAAUUCCAUCUAAAGCUAAAUAUUGGCGAGAGACCGAUAGCGAACAAGUACCGUGAGGGAAAGAUGAAAAGCACUUUGGAAAGAGAGUUAAACAGUACGUGAAAUUGCUGAAAGGGAAACGCUUGAAGUCAGUCGCGUUUGCCGGAACUCAGCCUUCCUUUUGGUUGGUGCACUUUCCGGUAGACGGGCCAGCAUCGAUUUCGACCGUCGGAUAAGGGCUGGGGAAAUGUGGCACCUUUCGGGGUGUGUUAUAGUCCUCAGUCGCAUACGUCGGUUGGGAUCGAGGAUCGCAGCGCGCCGCAAGGCAGGGGUUCGCCCACUUUCGCGCUUAGGAUGCUGGCAUAAUGGCUUUAAACGACCCGUCUUGAAACACGGACCAAGGAGUCUAACAAACCUGCGAGUGUUUGGGUGGAAAACCCGAGCGCGUAAUGAAAGUGAAAGUUGAGACCUCUGUCGUGGAGGGCAUCGACGCCCGGACCUGAAGUUCUCUGACGGUUCCGCGGUAGAGCAUGUUUGUUGGGACCCGAAAGAUGGUGAACUAUGCCUGAAUAGGGUGAAGCCAGAGGAAACUCUGGUGGAGGCUCGUAGCGAUUCUGACGUGCAAAUCGAUCGUCAAAUUUGGGUAUAGGGGCGAAAGACUAAUCGAACCAUCUAGUAGCUGGUUCCUGCCGAGUCUCCC